UCCCUGGUGGCUCAGAUGGUAAAGUGUCUGUCUGCAAUGCAGGAGAGAGACCCAGGUUCGAUCCCUGGGUCGGGAA
rnacentral:tRNA from 1 species